rnacentral:lncRNA from 1 species
GACGAACUCCGCGGGGGACGCGUGGUUCGACGUGUUCGCCUCCUUCCCCGCCGCCGCCCACCUCUCCCCCUUCCUCCCCGGCUCCCUCUUCGACGCCCUCUCCUUCCACCUCGACAAGGCCAUCGCCGAGCGACCGCCCCCGCACCUCUCCGACGCCGUCCUCUACAAGCAGGAGCUCACCAUCCUCGACANGCUCCACCUUCCUCUCCCGCAGCUUCUCCCUCGGCCCCUCCUUCCCACAAGGCCAUCGCCGAGCGACCGCCCCCGCACCUCUCCGACGCCGUCCUCUACAAGCAGGAGCUCACCAUCCUCGACACGCACAUCCACGACGACCGGCUCGUCGCCAUCCGCGAUCUCCUCGGCGAGAUCGGCGCGGCGACGCGGCUCGCCGGCGCCAGGUGCGGCGCGUGCCACACGCUGCACCGCAGGGAGUUGGACUUCCUGAGGUUGCCCUGCUCCCACGCCUUCCACACCCACUGCAUCUUCAAAGAGUUCCGGAGCGACAUCCGAUGCCCCACCUGUCGCUGGAGAUAUCGCUAGAACGAUGCUUGAAUUUCUCUUCUUAUUAGUAAGCAUAAGCCUGCCGCACCCUGGUUCUUCGUUUUAGGGUUUUGGUUGGAGAUGGCCCAAUUUUUCUCGAAUUCUAAAAACAAAGUUAAAGUUUAGAUUAUGCAUAAUCUUAUUAAGAUUAUUUCUGAUUUUAUUAACAUUGCAUUCCUACUUGUAUUAGCAUUUAGUGAUUAUCAUCAUAAAUAUUAUAUGUUUUAUUUCAUUAAUUUGGUGCGACAGAGAAAUAUAUUUUGUAGAGAACUUUGAUUGUACUAGAAAUCUCUGUUCUGUUUUCGUCUGUGGAGGUAGACCAGUGGCCGAUUUUCUUAUAUUUUCGUGUCCGACGAAUUAAAACCGUUUUACUUUUUUCAUAACAAAUUGGUAUGAGAACAAAUCUAGUAUUCAGCGUAAGUCGUGAAUUUCUAACACAUAUAUAUAUAUAUAUAUAUAUAUAUAUAUAUAUAUAUAUAUAUAUAUAUAUAUAUAUAUAUAUUUGCUUGCAUGAGGGAUAUAAGUUUUGGUGUUUGAAUUGAAGGUAAUUAAUGACUUGUUCAUGUUCUUUGAUUCUUUUGUCACUCUCUAUUGUCUCUGCGUUGCUUUCUAUCUGAUGUAAGUUUUUAGUGUGGUGAUGGUUGAUUGUUUAAUUUAAUGUUGAAAUUAUGGGGCUCAGACAAAUUUCUCCGGUGAGUGUUGGACAUGAUUUGCAACGAAUUAAUGUUCGAUGUAUGAAAGUCGGGUUUUACUUUGUUGGUUUUUUGCGGCGUUUGAUGAUGCCCCCCUUGUGUUGCCGUCGUGAUCGUCGCUUAAAAUGUGUUAGCUUUAUACUACAUGUUAUAAUCGUCGUCGACGACGACGAUCUACAUCUACGGGGGCAGGUUUGAGUUGGCAGAGAACUUGGAAACCACUCUAGCUUUACUCACCAUUGUUGAUUGCAAUUGUAUCAUUUGUGCAGACAAAAGAUUACGACGAGUCAAACAAUAAAAAUAAUAGUUUACUGUCGAAAACGACUUCACCUCUUUUCACUUUCACCCAAACAAACAAUGCAUCGACGCCAAUAUCCACAACGGGAAAGAAAAUCGAAGAAAGAGGAUAAGUAUAUACAAGCAAGCAUUAUAAUUGACACGACAAUAUUCACCAAUAAACUCGUAAAAAAAAUUCUCGGAAAAUGAUUUUUCAAGAACUAAUUAAACACCCAAAAGAGAGCUAACGAAAAUCUUUCACAUCAGCCUAAUUAAAUGGUUGCAGAACUCUUUAGGUGAGCAAAGUGUUUUCUACUGUUAAUCAUCAUAGAAAAGUUUGAGAAUAAGCUAAAUAAGCUGUAUUUGAAGGGCGUGCAUAAAAUUCUACAAAGCUCUGUAGAGGAGAAUCUCUAAUAAAGGUGCACGCAAAGUAUGAGACAUUUGCUUUCUCACUUGCUGGGACAAAGAGUAAUGCUAAUUGUGCACAGGAAGAUAAUUAAUUGUUCUUUUAAAUAGUAGAGAGAUAAGAGGACCGUGAGAGAGAGAGAGAGAGAGAGAGAGAGCACCCAAAGAUGAUUGUGUUUUAAGUAAUAGAGAGAGAAAGAGAGGAGCUGCUCUUGUUUUGUUUUAUUUGGGUAGAGUGGUCUUCCAAAGGUAACAUUUUCUUGUGUUUAAGGUGUUAGGCAGUNACGUGUGGAUUUUUUAUUGUUGAGAAUGCGUUAUCACUCCUUAACUUUGUUAUGUUGAAAUUGGCCCGAACAUUAUUUUUUUAAGCUAAAUCUUUGAAAUCAUUCCUAAACCGCUGUCUCAAUUAUCCCUGUAUAAUACUUAUGUUGAUUAUUUAUACACGAAAGAUAUUGAGAAAAAGGCUAAAUUGCUUUUUUUUUUGGCUCAUUAAUAGCAACUUUUAACUUUUAUAUAUCUUGAUUUUAAAUAUUCAUUUUAUAACUUUAAUUACUUGUUAGCUAAAAACCGCAGUUUUCGUUUAAAAUUAAUAACUAGUAGUUAAAAAACUGUUUAUUUUGAUACAAUUUAAUUCAAUUGAUUAAAAUAUUCAGAACAAAAUAUAUGAAAACUCGGAUAUUGCCCAUUAAAAAAAGAAAAAAAGAACCUUUGUAACUCUUUUCUUUUUUUUUUUGAGAAAUAGGUAGCAAGCUACCUGCUUCAUUCAUUAAGUCAAAUGAACUGAGCAUACAGAUUGGAAGCAGCUUAGGCCUCCGAGGAGCCGGCAAAAGGAGAAAAUUAAAAUAAAAGCAAAAAGGAAGAGAAAAGAAGGUCAAAGUCAUGUUCUUAAGUAAAACAAGCUUAAUUAAAAUCUAAAUAUAACUUUGAUUCUUGUAUUAACUUGUUAAUUAAUCUAAUUAAUAUAUUUAAGUCAUUAUUUAUUACUGAAAUGAUUAAGUAAUUAAUUAAUUUAUUAUUUAUAGUUAAUUAGUUUAUAAGAAUUAAUUAUUUAAUGUGUUUAUCUAAUAACUAACGUUUAUAUUGGUCAACUAGUUAAUAUUGUGGCAAUUAUAUUAAUUUCUUAACAAAUCAUCUAAUUAAUUAAAUAAUUUACAAAUUAAUUAAAAAAUUAAGUUAUAUUUUAUAAUUAAUUAAUAUUUUUUAAAUUAUCUUAUACAAUAUUCAUAGAUAAUAAUUUUUUAUUUUAUUAAAUUAAAUAAAAUUAUUUUUAAUUAAUACUUUAAUAUUAAUUAAUUAGAUAAAAUAUUAUAACUUUAAAAUUAUAAUUACUUUUAUUCUUGCUAUUACAAUCUAACUAUCCAAACAUUAUUUACCUUAUUUUCAAAAACAAUCCAAUUUUCAUUCAAACGAAAAAUUAGUCUUGCUACUACUUAUUUUCGAAAUUGUAUCGAUCUCAGGAAUAAGCAAUUUCUGCUUAUUCUUGAUCCAAACGAUUUAGAGAUUCAGUAAUUUUAGUUCUUAUAUUCAAUACUUUUAUUUAUAUUUGAACUCAAAAUAUUUUGAUACGGUCGAGGCGUGAACUUAAUUUAAAGAAGAGGAAACUAAAUAAGACUGCAAGUCUAACGAAACUCUAACUCAGGAUACUAUGCUUCGAUAUUAUAUUAAAUUAUGUAAAACAAUCGAAAAUUUAAAAAGUUUAAGUUAUCAUAUAACAAUGUUUUUAAUAUCAUAUCCAUAUUUAUAUUUAACAUGUUUGUAUGUAUUAUCGAUUGUUCUUAGCAAAAAUGGCAAAGGGCUUAGUGGUUGGUAUCCGAGAUCUCAAGUUCGAAUCCUUAUUUGAAUCCUUGUUGAUUCAAAUUUCCAACUAAGUUUAUUUUUAAAAAAAUAAACGAAGCGGAUAGCAUACUAUCUUUCUCUCUCAAAAAAAUAUAUUUAUGUGUGCGUGUUUUAUUUUUUGAAUAAAAAUUUAAAUACCAGAUGUCCCAAUUUUCAAACAUAAUUACUUUACAUUUCUAGCUAAAUUUAUUUCUGAAAUAAAUAGAAAAUAAAAAAAAAAGGAGAAUACUUAGCUUCUUCUACUUCAAAUUUUCGGAUUGAGGUGUUUGAGUUCUUUUGAAAUCAAGUGCUUUUAGUNGAAGGCUUAGCUGCUAGGUGUGGCAAUUUGCAGUAGAUCUCGUAAACUUUGUAGAUCUUUAAUUUAAAGUAUUAAAAAGCUGUAGUAAAUGGAAUGCUAAUUUUCGAGUGUUUUAACUGUUAAAAAUUGCCGACCAUACCUUAUGAACGAUCAAAUUGCCAUAUUUUCUUAAGCUUAUCCAACUUAAAAACUAUCUUUUAAGAUAAGUGAUAAAUCUAUUUCUAGUUAUUGAAACUAGAAUUUAACUUCCUAGAGUAGUAAGUAAAAAUUCUGUAGUAAGCUAAAACUGGCAAGUAAAAUACGGGCGAACUACCUGAAAUAAUACUAAAGCUUUUUAAUGCUUUAAAUAAAAGAUGUUCAAAGUUUAAGAUAUCUAAUAUAAAUUGCCUCACCUAGCAGUUAAGCCUUCGAGGUAGUAGCUUUUGUUGAAUACUCAUGCUUCCCGGGUUAUGAGUAUUAUCAUAACAUCGGGAUGAUAUAUAUAUAUAUAUAUAUAUAUAUAUAUAUAUACUCAACCUGACCCGAUGAUAAUCAUCGUUUUAGGGUAACAACGAUAGUCAAAAAAUCGGAAACCUAGUUGAGAAAAGUAAUAAAGUUUGGUAACCUAAUUUAUGAUAUUGGGUCACCUCUGGUGAGUUGGGAUCCCCCUGGUGAGUUGAAAUUGACUGAUUAUAAUAGAACUGGAAUGUUAAAAAGUAGGUUCUCAAUUUUUGAACUAUCGUUUUUCUCGCAAAAUGAUAAUUAUCAUAAGGAUUAUCGUGUCAUCGGGACGAUUAUAUAUAUAUAUAUAUAUAUAUAUACAUAUACAUAUAUAUAUAUAUACAUGUAUAUGUAUAUAUAUACAUGUAUAUGUAUAUAUAUAUAUAUAUAUGUAUAUGUAUAUACAUGUCUUUAAUGAAUUUCAUACUUGGUAAAACUUAGCCGAUUCGUUAGAAAAUUUAAAAAAAUAAAAUGACGGGUUGGAAAGUUAAACGGUCUAAACUCAAUCGGUUGCUAUAAAACUGAAAUUUUAAAUUAACGAAGCGAAUAAAAAUAAGAAUGUCUAAAUCUAUCAUAUAAAAUAUGCUAAGGGUGUUGAUGUUUAAGUCAUUUCAUUAACCGUAUUUAAAGUUUCAGUUUAUGAUAACUAACUAAGUCUAGUUUGUUUAACUUUUUAAUUUGUCAUUUUAUUUAUAAAAUUUCUAACCUAUUGACUAAGUUUUUAUCAGGUAUAUAUCAAUUCCGUUUAAGUCAUACAAAGUGGGGUUUUUCUUUAUUUAUUUAUUCUUCUAUUUUCCCUACUCUUGUUUUUAUUUCAUUAAAUAGAUCUGUUUUAAAAUGAAGAGGACGUUUGAUUGAGGGGUUUAUGGGGCACACGACAUUUUAUUACUUUAUUUUUUUUAUUAUCAGGUUGGUUUAUCUUUUUUUAAACCGGUAAGAUUUUAUCUAAGGAAUUGGGAAAACAAAAAAAAAAAAAAGACAAACCCCAAAAAUCUAAAUUUCCCGACAAAUUAAGGAACUCUUUCUCGGUUUAAACAAAAAGUUCUUUUUUAAAGAAAUACCUUUUGAGGAAAAAUUAUAAGGUAAGUAAACUAAGAUUCUUUUUGAUCGAAAAACUUAAAAAAAAAGUUUAAAAUAUUUUUUGAUCACAGAAAGAAAAGGAUUUUUCUAAGUUUUUUGCUUUUUGUGAUCAAAAAACAGUUUAAACCUAAAAAAAAAUUUUUUUCGAUCAAAAAGAAUCUUGGUUUACCUAUUUUUUUUUGAAUUUUGAUCCAAAAGGUAUUUUUUUUUGGAAAAAGUGUUUUUUAAAAUAAGGUAUGAAAAGGGAUCUUGGUUUGUUGAAGAUUAACGUUAUUAUACAAAUAGUUUAAAUAAGUAACAUAAUUAACAAUUAUACAAAUCAAAACAAAAGAUUUUCUAACUAAAUUUAAUAAUUAAAUGAUUUAAGUAGUUAGGAAACUACUCUAUCAUCGAAAACAACUUAUGAGUACGAGGGCGAUCGUACUCAUAAUAGUAUAGUAGCCGAACUCUCUCUCUCUCUCUCUCUCUCUAUAUAUAUAUAUAUAUAUAGAGAGAGAGAGAGAGAGAGAGAGUUUUGCUAUAAUACUAUCGGUAGUAAACGGAGCCGUUUACUACCGAUUUGUUUUCGAUGAUAGAGCUUCCAAAUUGAUGAUCGGCACCGUUAAAUAUGAUCUAAACUAUUUAAACUAUCUAAAAAUCAAACUUUACACAUUUUCAAUAUUAUUCUCUUGUCCAUCAAGUGAACAGAAAAAUGAAUGGCUGAAAAUGAAUAUCCUUCAAAAAGUGAUGAUACAAUUUUUUAUAUUUGAGAUCUAAAGUCUAUAUCUUAUUUUUAAUAGUUUAAAGAAUUUUUUAAUAAAAAUUUAGUUGAUUUGAACUCUUCUAUACCGUUAAACGAGCAAAUGCACCAUAUCGACCAUUAAAAUUAUAUAUUUUGUGACAUUUUGAUCGUUCAGUUAGUGAUGCCAAAAAAUCAUGAAAUUUGAUUUCUAUAUAAUUUAAAUAGUCUAGAUCAUAUUCAACGGUAUCAAUCGUCGAUUUGGAAGCUCUAUCAUCGAAAAUAAAUUGAUAGUAAACCGAGCAGUUUACUACCGAUAGUAUUCUAGCAAAACUCUAUAUAUAUAUAUAUAUAGAACUAGGCUAGAAUACUAUCAAUAGCACCAAGCUAUUAGUGCUAUUGAUUUUUUAGCUCUUGGAUUGAGAAAUGGAUGGUUAGGAUGAUGUGGGCCCCCUAGGGUUGAGUGAGUGGUUAGUUAAAUAGUAUAAUCUAAUAGGUAAAAAUAAUCAAAGGAUUAAAUCUAAUUGUGGAAAACUCGAUAGCAUCAAAUCCUUGAUGCUAUCGAUAGUACCCAGUCGGACUAUAUAUAUAUAUAUAUAUAUAGAGAGAGAGAGAGAGAGAGAGAGAGAGAGAGAGUCCAGCUACUAUGCUAUUAAUAGCACGAAGCACUUGGUGCUACCAAGUUUUCCGCCGUUCGAUAUACCCUUUUGAUCAUUUUCACCCGUUAGAUCAUACUAUUAAACCAACAUCACUCAACCCUAGGGGGCCCACAUCACCUACGCAGAUCUCUUAAUCAAUGGCCAAAAACUUGGUGCCGAUGAUUGGUGCUAUUAAUAGCUAGUGCCUUGUUAUAUAUAGUAUACUAAUUAUAUAUAUAUAAUUAUAUAUAUUAUAUAUUAUAUAUAUAUAUAUAUAUAUAAUAUAGUUGUACUAUUAUAAUCUCAAAGACUACUAUGAAGGUGGUAUACUUAAUUUUAGAGUAUACUUAGUAUGACUUUUAGAAGUUAUUCCCCUAUGGUGCUAAUCUAGGUUUUUAGCCAUUGGAUCUACUCAUGAUGAACUAAUAGUCCUUGGAUCAAACCUAUUCCACCUACACCACUAUCAUCAUCUCAAUCUCACAUCUCUUCAUCCAAUGGCUAAAAACUCAAAUGCACCCCCUCCAUGGUGCUUUUGAGAGAAUUCUAGCUCAACUCUAUAUAUAUAUAUAUUAAAAGGUUAAUAAAUUGCACCAUUAAUUCGUCGCCAAUUUUUACUAGCCAGGUUUUCAAAUUGCAGCAUAUAUAAGAAUGGACGCCGGAGAGGGGGGGAUGGCUAGCCGAGAUCAAGAGCAUCGAAUUUCUAUUCCUGAUCAUAAUAAUAAUGCUGGUGGAUCUGGUGUCAGUGUCGGCCCCGGAUUCAUUAAUGAGGAGUACCUGAGUAGUCUUCCUAGCGAUCCACCGGAUGCGGACGAGGAGUGGAUUAGAGAGAUGGAGGACAAAAUUGAUCGUGCAUUCAAAGAUUCGACAUUACUACCGGCCUGGUAUUUUAAGAAAGAAACAAAACCUAAGAUUUGCAAGCUGCCGCUGCGUGACAGGAUCUCUCAGCCAGGGUCGGAGACAGAAGGGGGGCUUUCUCAGCCAAGCGUGGUGGGAAUAGGGCCAUUUCAUCAUCAGCUCCAUCGGCAGGAUAAGAUAAGUAUUUCCGACAAGGAAAAAUUUUUGAUUGUGGGCCUCAUGAAUUCUUUGUGUGGUCUCGACUUGGCGAGCUGCCUUGUAAAGAUAAAAAAUCAAGUAGCAAAUGCUCGCAACAGCUACAAGUUAGAUGUAUCUGAUCAAAGCUCCAGUUUUAAAGAUGACAAAAGUUUCGCAGAGAUGCUGCUGCUUGAUAGCUACUUCAUCUUGUUUAUGUUGACCAUUAAGUUACGUAAAGGACUGGCACGUUACACAUUGACGCCGCCAACACCUAAUAAGUUUACAGACCCGCUUGCGUUGUCUCAAGACGACCCGUCUAAAUUUCUCGACAUCAUAUUCAACAAAGAUGAGAUCGCACUUGAUCUACUGAUCUUUGAUAACCAAGUCCCUUUCUUUGUGAUCGAGGAGCUAUUUAAGGAGCUCGAGUUGGAGAAGCCCCUCCAUGAGUGCGCCCUCGAGUUCUUCGAGACAAUCCAUCCGAGGUCCGCCCGACAUUGCAUGGACAAGAGUAUUAGUCCUCCCGAAUUCCUACAUCUACUCGAUCUUUUCCACUGGUCUCGGGUCCCACAGAACAAGUACAGCUUGCCUGAUCAACGGCAAGAUUCUAUGUACUGGGGACGCGACACUCCGAAUGCGAGGGAACUUACAGAAUCCGCAACAAUGUUUGAAAAGAAGACGAACGGCAGCUCACUAGAUUUCACAUUUCGGAGACAUUGGUUUAGAUGCAUUAUUGGGGUGUUCGACAUCCCAGAGCUACACAUCUGCAACUAUAGCAGCCUCAUCUUCCAUAACCUCAUCACCUUCGAGAUACAAUCCUCAAGCCGGGGCCGCUGCACCAUGGCCUUUUCUGCACUUAUGCGCAACUUGCUGCAAAGAGAGGAAGAUGUGAAGCUGCUUCGGCAAAGAGGCAUUUUGGCGAGCUCGUCCAUGGCCGACAGACAACUCAUUGAUCUCUUUGCGCGCUUGAGCAGAUUGACUGAAAACCAUCAAAUGCCAAAUGAUCUGUUUAACAUAUGCCAGCAGGUCCGUUCUCACCACGACAACCCAGUGAAUCAGUUCUGCGGCAGCAUCAUUAUCCGAUACUUCCCCAGCCCACUGGUCACUCUUACCGUUUUUGGUGCAAUCUUGCUUUUUAUUCCCACCCUCUUGCAGACCAUAUAUGCUAUGCUAUGAUCAGUUACUACCAUGGUUGAAUGCUCUACAUGUUUUUUUUGAGAAUUAAAAAAAUGCUCUACAUGUUAUUAUCUACAAUGAUAAUAAUUUGCUGAAAUAAAAUAUGUAUUGUACUACCAAAUCGGCUGUUGUUAUAUUAAUUUACAUGUAACAUUCCCUGUACGUUGCUACCUAGUUUGGUGUUCUUGCUUGUUAUUAAUGCAAGGGAGCUUUUUACGUGUGUGUAUAUAUAUAUAUAUGAAUUUUCUUCACACAAGUGAUUCUGGAGUACUCGAAGAGUAUAUUUAAUUUGCAUGCACCAUCAAAUAAUAUAUUUCAAAUUUCUUUAUUCUACGAUGAAAAGAGCAAAAAUAGACAUAAUUUCUUUAUUCGAAGUUAUCUUUAAUGCUAAUGAUCUCUCUUAGCCCAUGACAUCAAGUUUCUCUUAUUAAGCUGCUCCUAAGCUGGAAAACAACAAAAAGCCAAAAAUAAAAACAAAAAUAAGUAAAUAAAAUAAACGCAACUAGCUAGUGACUCAAUAUAAUUAAAAUAUAAUAUAACCAUUUCAUUUUUCUGCACCAUUACCAAACAUCAAAUUUCCCUCUCUCUCUCUCUCUCUCUCUCUCUCUCUCUCUCUCUAAGAAAAAAUGCCUUUUGUGUUCAUCAAGUAAUAAUCGCCUAAAAUUGCGACUUAGUCCCUACAGCAACAACAUAUUGCAAUUCGCUCCAUACAACGAUUCGAACGUCCUAAUCCGAGUCUAAUUCCUCUCUAUAUAUACUCUUUAGGAAUAAUUUCAUAGAUGCCCUUCUAGAAACUAUUAAUUUUAUCAAUACCCUUCUAAAAUUGAUAAUAUCACAAAUACCCUCCAAUAUGUUAAAAAUUAUCAUAAAUACCCUUCAUUAGUUAAAAUCCGUUAAGACAUGAAUGAAACGAAGUUAAAUUUUCAAAAUACCAUUUUUACUCUUUAUCUCUUAUUAAUAGUAGAAAUACUAAGAGGUAUUUCAAGAUAUUUUUUGUAAAUUUAAAUUUAAGUAUUUAAUAUAUAUAUAUAUUAAAUUAAAUUAUUAAUAUAUAUUAAUUAUUAAAAAAAUAUAAAAAUUAUAUUUUAUAUAUAGUAUGUUUUUAUCUGAUUUUGAUUUUGUUUUUUGGUUUCGGAUCUCGGUUCAGCUUCAGUUUAAAUAUAGACCAAACGUAUAAUUGAAUUUAAAUAUGGAUAAUUCUUGAACAUUUUUUUUCAUUUAAAUUUUUAUAUAUAAUUAUUUAUUCGAUAAAAUAUAAAUAGAGCCACUAGAUUUGAUAAAAUUAUCAAAAAAUUAAAAAAUUCUCAUUUUUUUAUACACCGAAAUUAGUUAAUUUUUUAAAAAAUAAAAGUUAAUGGCACAUGACCUAAAAAAAUGAAAAUUGAGGGAGCUGUUUCAAAAUGGCAUAUAGUUGAGGGGGUCUCCAUACAUUUUUAAUUAAGAGAAACUUAAGGAUAAAUAAGUCAUUUUGAAAUUUAACUCAGCUUUAACCAUUUAAUAACUAUGAUAAAGCUAACAUAACUAACAGUAGGGAUAUUGAUGAUAAUUUUCUGUAUUUACAGGAAUAUAGGUGAUAUUUUAAACUUUAUAAGGGUAUCUGUGAUAUUUAAGACUUUGGAAGGGGUAUCCAUGAAAUUGCCCCUACUCUUUAUACCUUCUCUCUUCGUCCUCGCGAGCGCGAUUAUCUCCAACUCUCUCUCUCUCCUCUAGGGAUUCGAUCCACUUCUUCUCUCCUCUAGGGUUUCGACUCCUCUAGAGUUUCGAUCCGAUCCUUCUCCAUGGCCGAAGCCGAAGCGACGGCGGAGGAGUUGAAGGAGAGGGGGCCUCGCCAUUACCAGCAAGACUAGGGUUGGGUACGUCCCCACCCCCACACCCUCCUCCUCCUCCACCGUUGUCAUCGAGAGGGUUCGCCAGUACGUCACGACGAUCAACGGCACUUCCACCCUCGACCGUCGCGGCCCCGUCGAAACCCUAGGCUCCUCCUCCUCCUGCGACGCCGCCGCGCUCCUCGCGGCCUCGCGCGCCUCCGACUAUAUGACGAGCUCCGCGGGGGACGCGUGGUUCGACGUCGUCGCCUCCUUCCCCGCCGCCGCCCACCUCGCCCCCUUCCUCCCCGGCUCCCUCCUCGACGCCCUCUCCUUCGACCUCGACGAGGCCAUCGCCAAGCUACCGCCACCGCACCUCCCCGACACCGUCCUCUACAAGCAGGAGCUCACCAUCCUCGACACGCACAUCCACGACGACCGGCUCCUCGCCAUCCGCGAUCUCCUCGACGAGAUCGGCGCGGCGACGCGGCUCGCCGGCGCCAGGUGCGACGCGUGCCACACGCUGCACCGCAGAGAGUUGGAUUUCCUGAGGCUGCCCUGCUCCCACGCCUUCCACAACCACUGCAUCUUCGAAGCGUUCCGGAGCGACACCCGAUGCCCCACCUGUCGCCGGAGAUUUCGCCGGAACGAUGCUUGAAUUUCUCUUCUUAUUUGUAAGCACAAGUCUCCCCCCUGGUCCUCCUUUUUUUUUUGGGGGGUUUUAAUUGGAGAUGACCCAAUUUUUCUCGAAUUCUGGAACCAAAACAUAAGGUUUUUUUAAUUCUAUAAAGUUAAGUUUUGAUUAUGCAUAAUCUUAUUAAGAUUAUUUUUAAUUUUUUUUUUUUUUUUUAAGAGAAGAUAAUACGCUAUCUGCUUCAUUCAUUGAAUGUAUGGACUAGGCUACAAGGGUAAGGCAACCAAGGCCCCGAGAAAGAAACAGAAAAGACACGAAAGCAAAGCGCAUUCAAAAAAAAAAAAAAAAAAAAAAAAAAAAAAAAAAAAAAAAAACAGUUUCACCUAAGUACGGAUGUGAGUAUCCCAGGAUUUCUAGUUUUAUUAACAUUGCAUUUCUACUUGUAUUAGCAUGUAUUGACUAUCAUAAAUAUUAUAUUUUAUUUUAUUAAUUUGGUGGGGUAGGAAUUUAUAGGAGAAAUAAAUUUUGCACAGCACUUUGAUUGUACUAGAAAUCUCUAUUCUGUUUUCCUGCAUGGAUGUAGAUUUUUUUAUAUUUUUGUGCCCGACGAAUUAAAACUUUUUUACUUUUUUCAUAACAAAUUGGUAUGAUAACAAAUCUGGUAUUUAGUGUAAAUCGCGAAUUUCUAACGCAUAGAUAUUUGCUUGCAUGAGGGAUGUAAGUUUCGGUGUUUGAAUUGAAGGUAAGUAAUGACUUCUUCUUGUUCUUUGAAUCUUUAUCACUCACUACUGUUUCUGCAUUGCUUUUUAUCUAGUAAAGUUGUUAGUGUGGUGAUGGUUGAUUGUUUAAUUCAAUGUUGAAAUUAUGGAACUCGACGAAUUUCUCCGGUGAGUGUUGGAUAUAAUUUGCAACAAAUUAAUGUUCGAUGUAUGAAUGUCGGGUUUUGCUUUGUUGGUUUUUGCGGAGCUUGACGAUGCCCCCUGUGUUGCCGUCGUGAUCGUCGCUUUAAAUGUGUUAGCUUUGUACAUGUUAUAAGUGAUCAGGACGACGGCGACGACGACGAUCUACAUGGGCAGGUUUGGGUUGGCAGAGAACCUGGAAACCACUCUAGCUUUACUCGCCAUUGUUGAUUGCAAUUAGCACGCUACCCGCUUCGUUUAUUUUAUUUAGAAAUAAACUUAGCUGAAAAUGUGAAUCAAUUAGGAUUCGAACUUGGGUCUCGGGUACCAACCAUCAAGCCCUUUGCCACUUGCUCUAGGGACGGUAGGUUUUACUCGCCAUUGUUGAUCGCCAUUGUUGAUUGCAAUUGUAUCAUUUGUACAGACAAAAGAUUACAUAUUUGGACUAGAAUUUACCCGUUCAAAGAGAUUUGGACAAGAAUAUUUUAAUUUCACUUUCAGUUUGGAUGAAAUUUGCUUACAAUUUUGCAGAUCUUGGUCUCAAAGAGAGCACUGAAAACAACAAACAAGGGUUACAAAGCCCCAUGCCCUCUUUCUUUGUCCCUUCAACACAUUUUAUGUUAGGGCUGUAGUGUGGAAAAUGAUUGAUUAGGGGUUUCAAAUUUGUGAUUUUGGGUCAUUUACUAAGUGAGUUGGUAUUUGUUGUCUAACAUCUUGAGUAUUAUUACACAUUGUAUUAUUCUUUUUCUCAUCUUUUUUCCAUCAUAAUUGACUUCGGCCAAAGGCAAGUCCAGAGUUGUUAUUACUAUUUUGAAUAACUUGAGAUUCAACUAUAUCUUUAUUAUGACGAAUUAAACAACAAAAAUAAUAGUUUACUGUCGAAAAUGAUUUCACCUCUUUUCACUUUCACCUAAACAAACAGUACAUCGACGCCAAUAUCGACAACAAAAAAAAAAUCAAAGAAAAAGGACAAGUAUAUAUACAAGCAAGCAUUAUAAUUGACAUGACAAUAUUCACUAAUAGAAAUAAAACGAAGCAGGUAGCGUGCUAUCUAUUUCUCAAAAAAAAAAAAAAAAUCACCAAUAAACUCAUAAAAAAAAAUUCUUGAAAAAUGAUUUUUCAAGAACUAAUCAAACACCCAAAAGAGAACUAACAAAAAACCUUUCACAUCAGCCUAGUUAAAUUAAUUGUUGCAAAACUCCUUAGGUGAGCAAAGUGUUUUCUACUGUUAACCAUCAUAGAAAAAUUUGAGAAUAAGCUAAAUGAGCUGUAUUUGAAGGGCAUGCAUAAAAUUCUACCAAGCUCUGUAGAGGAGAAUCUCUAUGGUGCACGCAAAGUAUGAGACAUUUGCUUUCUCACUUGCUGGGACAAAGAGCAAUGCCAAUUGUGCGCAGGAAGAUAAUUUUUCUUUUAUUAAAUAGUAGAGAGAUAGAGCAUGCACCCAAAGGCCAAAGAAAAUUGUUUUUUUUAAUAUGAGUGAGAUAGAGAGAGAGAGAGAGAGAGAGAGGAGCUGCUCUUAUUUUAUUUGGGUGGAGUGGUCUUUCAGGAGUACAAUCGUCGUUACGGUGGCUCGAGAUGGAAAUGUAUUCUUAGGAACAAGUUAUCGGUAAAUUAUGUUUGUUGUUGUUGAUGCUAAUACUAAUUGGUCAUUGUGUAUAGGCCACAACAUAUAUUUUGAGUUCAUAGAAAUUUUGUCAUUGAAAGUUUUACUUUGAUUUCAAUUUCGUCUGUGGACGUAGACAGGUGCCCGUUUUGGUUUUUUAUAUUUUUGCGCCCGAUAAAUUAAAUCUUUUCUACUUUUGUUAUAAUAAAUUGGUAUGAGAACAAAUUUGAUAUUCAGUGUGAGUCACGAAUUUCUAACACGUACACACAUAUAUAUAAAUUAUGCUUUAUACUAUUAAUAGCAGCAAGCGCAUGCUGCUAUUCAGUUUGGUGCUAUCGAGUUUUCGACUGUUGGAUGAAAGGAUGUGCAAUUAGGAUGAUAGUGGUAUUCUAAGGUUGAGUAGAUGGUUGAUUAAAUAGUAUAAUCUCAAGGAUAAAAAUAAUCAAAUAGUAGAGCUAACGAUAGAAAACUCAAUAGUACCAAGAGUUUGGUACUAUCGAUAAUAUGAUAGUCAAACUCUCUCUCUCUCUCUCUCUCUCUCUAUAUAUAUAUAUAUAUAUAUGGGGGAUAUAAGUUUUGGUGUUCGAAUUGAAGCUAAUUUAUGACUUGUUCUUGUUUUUUGAUUCUUUGUCACUCUCAAUUGUUUCUGCAUUGCUUUUUAUCUACUAAAGUUGUUAGUGUGGUGAUGGUUGAUUGCUUAGUUUAACGUAUGCGAUUUCAUUGAGUAAUGUGGAAAUUAUGGGCCUGGACAAAAUUCUCUGCUAAAAAUUUAUUAGUGUUGGAUAUGAUUUGCAACGAAUUAAUGUUCGAUGUAUGAACAUCGGGUACGUCGGUUUUACUUUGUUGGUUUUUGUGGAGCUUGAUGAUGCCCCCUGUGUUACUGUCGUGAUCGUCCCUUGAAAUGUGAUAGCUUUGUACAUGUUAUAACUUCAAAGAGAUUUGGAUAAGAAUUGUAAUUUCACUUUCAGUUUGGAUGAGAUUUGCUUAGAAUUUUGCAGAUCUUGGUCUCAAAAAGAGCACUGAAAACAACAAACAAGGGUUAUAAAGCCCCAUGCCCUCUUUCUUUGUCCCUUCAACACAUUUUCUCUAAGGGCUGUACUGUGGAAGAUGAUUGAUUAGGGGUUUUAAAUUUGUGAUUUUUGGUCACUUACUAAGUGAGGUGGUAUUUGUUGUCUAACAUUUGAGUACUAUUACCCAUUGUACUAUUCUAUUAUUCUUUUCUUCAUCUUUUUUCAUCAUAAUUAAUUCGGCCAAAGGCGAGCUGAGAGUUGUUACACUAUUUUGGAUAACUCGAGAUUCAGUUACAUCUUUAUUACGACGAGUCAAACAAUAAAAAUAAUAGCUUACUGUCAAAAGCGACUUCACCUCUUUUCACUCUCACCCAAACAAACAGUGCAUCGACGUCAAUAUCAACAACAGAAAGAAAAUCAAAGAAAGAGGAUAAGUAUAUACAAGCAAGCAUUAUACUUGACAUGACAAUAUUCACCAAUAAACUCAGAAAAAAAAAUAUUCUUGGAAAAUGAUUUUUCAAGAACUAAUUAAACACCCAAAAGAGAACUAACAAAAAAACCUUUCACAUCAGCCUAAUUAAAUUAAUUGUUGCAAAACUCGUUAGGUGAGCAAAGUGUUUUCUACUGUAAAUCAUCAUAGAAAAGUUUGAGAACAAGCCAAAUUAGCUGUAUUCGAAGGGUAAGCAUAAAAUUCUACCAAGCUCUGUAGAGGAGAAUCUCUACGGUGCACGCAAAGUAUGAGACAUUUGCUUUCUCACUUGCUGGGACAAAGAGCAAUGCUAAUUGUGCACAGGAAGAUAGUUUUUCUUUUAAAUAGUAGAGAGAUAGAGGACAGAGAGAGAGAGCACCCAAAGAUGAUUGUGUUUUAAGUAAUAGAGAGAGAAAGAGAGGAGCUGCUCUUGUUUUGUUUUAUUUGGGUAGAGUGGUCUUCCAAAGGUAACAUUUUCUUGUGUUUAAGGUGUUAGGCAGUGUUUGAUUCGCGUACAAAAAAAAAUAUAUAUGUUUUUCUAAAAAAAAAUUUAAAAAAUGUAAAAAAAAAAAAAAAAAAAAAAGGGGAAACUUUAAAUACACCUGUGGUUUCGUACUUUCUUACUAUAGUACCUGUGGUUUAACGUAUAUCAAGUUAGUACCUUCUGGUUUCGCACUUUCUCACUUUACUAUCCUGUGGUUUCAAGUGUAUCAUGUUAGUAUCAUGUGGUUUCGCAAUUUCUCACUUUAGUACUCUGUUGUUUAAUAUUCUAGCUCAACUCUCUCUCUCUCUCUAUAUAUAUAUAUAAAGUCUGGCUACUAUACUCUUAUGAGUAUGAUCUCCUUUGUACUCAUAAAUUGAUUUUCGAUGAUAGAGCUUUCGAAUAUAUAGAACUAGACUGAAAUGCUAUCAAUAGCACCAAAUUGUUGGUGCUAUUAGUUUUCGGCUCUUGGACGAAGAAAUGUACCGUUAUAAUGAUAUAAACCUGCUAGGGUUGAGUGAGUUGUUGGUUGAAUAGUAUAAUCUAAUGGGUGAAAAUAGUCAAAGAAUUAAAUCUAAUAGCGGAAAACUAGAUAGCAUCAAGUGCUUAGUGUUAUCGAUAGUAUUCCAGCCGGAAUAUAUAUAUAUAUAUAUAUAUAUAUAUAUAUAUAUAUAUAUUAAAAGGUUAAUUGCACCAUUAAUUCAUCACCAAUUUUUAGUUGGUUUUCAAAUUGCAGCAUGCACAUAUAAGAAUGGAUGGAUGCCGGAGAAGGUGGGGAUGCAUGGCUAGCCCAGAAGAGCAUCUAAUUUAUAUUGCCGAUGCUGCUGCCAGCAGAUCUGGAUCUGGUGAAAGCGUCGGCACCAGAUCCGAUGAGGAGGAGGAUGGUAGUCUUCCUAGCAAACCUCAUGGGGAUGAGGAGUGGAUCAGAGAGGUGGAGAACAAAAUGUGCCGCGCACUCUUGGAUUCGAUGUUGUGGCCCUUCCAGUCCCCAGAUGAAAGAGAAACCACGAUUUGCAAGUUUACGCUGGGUAAGGAGAUCUCUCGGCCAAGGUUCGCGACGAUCGGGGAGUUCUCUCAGCCCAGAGUGGUGACAAUAGGGCCAUUUCAUCGGCAGGAGAGCACGAGUAUUUCCGACGACCAGAAAUGGGUGAUUGUGUGCUUCAUGAAUUUAUUGUGCGGUCUCGACUUGGCGCGCUGCCUCGUAAAGAUGAAAGAGGAAGCAAAAAAAGCUCGCAACAGCUACUCCGAUUUAGAUAUAUCGCAAAGCUCCGGCCCUAAAGACUACACAAGUUUCACAGAGAUGCUGCUCCUCGAUAGCUACUUCAUCUUGUUUAUCCUGACCGUUAAGAUACGCAAAAGACCGGCAGGUUAUACACUGAUGCCGCCAACACCUGAUUCUGCAAACCCACUCAAGUUGUUUCGCGACGACGCGACUAAAUUUCUCGACAUCAUAUUCAACAAAGACGAGAUCGCGCUCGAUCUACUGAUCCUUGAUAACCAAAUCCCCUUCUUCGUGAUCGAGGAGCUAUUUAAGGAGCUCAAGUUGGAUAAGCCCCUCCUCGAGUACGCCCUCGAGUUCUUCGAGAUGAUCCAUCCGAGGUCUGCCCGACAUUUCAUAGACGAGAAUAUUAGUCCUCCCAAAUUCCUACAUCUGCUCGAUCUUUUCCACUGGUCUCGGGUCCCGCAGAACAAGUACAUCGAACCAAUUAUUAGUUCGUCUUCUAAACAGCUAGAUUCUAUAUACUGGGCACCCUAUACUCCGAAUGCGAUGGAACUCAGAGAAUCCGCAACAAUGUUCGAAAAGAAGACGUCCGGCAGCAGCUCGCUAGAUAUCACAUUUCGGAGGCGUUGGUUUAAACACAUUAUUGGGGUGCUCGACAUCCCGGAGCUACACAUCCGCGACUAUAGCAGCUUCAUCUUCCAUAACCUCAUCGCCUUCGAGAUGCAAUCUUCAAGCCGGGGCCGCUGCACCGUGGCCUUUUCUGCACUUAUGCGCAACUUUCUGCAAAGAGAGGAAGAUGUGAAGCUGCUUCGGCAGAGAGGCAUCUUGGUGAGCUCGUCCAUGACCGACAGACAACUCAUCGAUCUCUUCGCGCGCUUGAGCAGAUUGACUGAAAACCAUCAAAUGCCGAGCGAUCUGUUUAACAUAUGCCAUCAGGUCCUAUCUCACCACAACCACCCAGUGAAUCAGUUCUGCGGCAGCGUCAUUAUCCGGUACUUCCCCAGCCCACUGGUGACUCUUUCUGUAUCUGCCGCCGCCGUGCUUUUUGUUCUCAGCCUCUUGCAAACCAUAUAUGCUAUGAUCAGUUACCACCACCUUGGGUGAAUGCUCUACCUACACGUUGUAUUACCUAGUAUGAUAGUACUGCAUGCAUAUGUUACUGAAGUAAAACACGGAUUGUAUUUCCAAAUUCCAAUUGGGUUUGGGUGGGUAUGUAUUUACAUCUAACUUCCUCUCCUCUGUAAGUUGCUGCCUAGUUUAAUUGGUGUUCUUACUCGUUAUUAAUGCAAUGAUUUUUUAUUUAUAUGAAUUUUCUCACAAUCUCUUAUUCAAUCUCCUAAUUAAGCAAAUGUCAAGAAAAUGACGAUGGAACAUGUAAUUAAAUAGAUUAAUUGCAAUCCCAAGUAAAACCCGUAAAACCCGUUGUUAAGAAUAGUAUUUCAGGGACGAAGCGAGAAAUUAAGAUUCGGAGGGGCCAAGAUUUUAAAUUUGAUAGGAAAAAAAAUUGGACCUUAGAUAAUAAGAAAACAAAUUUGUGAGAUUCACUAAUCAGUUAUUACUAGAAAUAAUAAUGACAAUAUGUUCAAAGAGGAACAAGACUAAGAGUUGGAAAAAAAAAAAAAACCAAGAAAUUUGAAAAAAAAAAAACACAAAUUUAUUAAAAAAAUUAAUUUGGCCCCGUAAAAUUAAAUUUUAUAAUAUUUUAAUUUUUAUUACAAAGGACUUUUAUAUAAUUUUAAAAAAGUUUGAGGGGUCAUGACUACUGUGACCUCAAUCGGCCCGCCCCUGGUAUUUGAAGCACUUUUUUUUUUUUAAGAGAGAUAGAUAACAUGAUAUUCGUUUUGUUUAUUUUAUUUAGAAAUAAAUUUAGCUAAAAAUAUGAAUCAACUAGGAUUCAAAUUCGGGAUCUCGAAUACUAACCAUCAAAUCCUUGACCACUUACACUAGAAACGGUCGGUGUAUUUGAAGCACUUAACAAUACCAAAUAUAACCUAUUAGAUAUCAAGCUGGUCAACAGAUCAAUGCAACUAGUGACUCAACAUAAUUAAAAUCUAAUAUAACCAUUUCAUUUUCCGCAACAUUAAGAAACAUCAAAUUUCUCUCUCUCAAAAAAAAAAAAAAAAUCAAAUGAAGAAAAAGAUAAACUUUAGCCUACCUCCAGUUAGGGAUGUCAAUGGGUAUGCAUAUCCAAAAUAUUAUUCGAACCCGAAUUCGAACGGGACGGGUUUGCCCGAGCUAAACGGGUAUGAAUUCAGUUAUGAAUAUAGAAAGUAAAACCCGACGGAUAUGAAUACGGAUAUGGAUUUUGUAUUUACCCGACCUGAACCCGAAUAAAUUAUAUAUAUACAUACUUUAUUUUUAUUUAUUUAUAUAAAAUAUAAAAUAUUUAAUAAUUUUUAUCUCUUAGAUCUUCAUUCAACGGUAUGGAUAUUUAAAACCCGCCGGGUCCGGAUCCGGGAUUGAAUUUCGGAUUUUUUGUCGGGUACGGAUAUAGCUAUGGAUUUUUAAAAUCCGCCCGCUUCGAAUUCGGAAACGAGUUUUAAUUUGGUUUUCGGGUUCGGAUUCGAAUUUUUAAAAAUCCAAUCCAAACCCGACCCUGUUGACAUCCCUACUUCCAGUUAAACUUUACUAUUCGAUAAUUUUAUUUUUAUAAAUAGCAAAGUGCAAACUUUUACAUUACAUAUCAUAAACUAAUAAACAUGUGAUACUAUUAACUAAUUUACGUUUAGAUACAUCACCCAUUUAAAAUUUUCUAAACCGUUGAAGAUGGCACCAAAAUAAAGGAAAACUAUUUUUUUUAAAAAAAAAAACUAAAUAUGAAGUUAAUUAAUAAUAAAAUAAAAUGCUUUUUGUGUUCAUCAAGUAAUACUCGUCUAAAAUUGCUACUUAGUCCCUACAGCAACAACAUAUUGCAAUUCGCUCCCCACAACGAUUCGAACGUUCUAAUCCGAGUCUAAUUCCUCUUUACUCUUUCCUAUAUAUAUAUACUCUUUAUUAUUACCUCCUCUCUUCGUCCUCGCGAGCGCGAUCAUCUCCAACGCUCUCUCUCUCCUCUAGGGUUUCGCUUCUCUAGAAUUUCGUUUCGAUCCGCUUCUUCGCUCUUCUAGAAUUUCGAUUCGAUUCUCCAUGGCGGAAGCCGAAGCUCCCAUGGUGGCGACCGAAGCGAAGGCGAAGGUGGAGGUGGAGGCGAAGGCGAAGGUGGAGGAGGUGGCGGAGGUGAAGGAGAAGGGGCCUGGCCAUUACCAGAUCGAGCACCCCUACCUGUGCAUCGGCGAGCCUAGGGUUGAGUACGUCCCCUCCUCUCCCACACCCUCCUCCACCGUCGUAGUCGAGAUCACGUGGAGGAGGGCGACGCAGUGCGUCACCACCAUCAACGGCACCUCCACCCUCGACCGCCGCGGCCCCGUCGAAACCCUAGGCUCGUCCUCCUCCUCCUUCGACGUCCCCGCGCUCCUCGCGGCCUCGCCCGACUGCCACGGGGUGACGAACUCCGCGGGGGACGCGUGGUUCGACGUGUUCGCCUCCUUCCCCGCCGCCGCCCACCUCGCCCCCUUCCUCCCCGGCUCCCUCUUCGACGCCCUCUCCUUCCACCUCAACAAGGCCAUCGCCGAGCGACCGCCCCCGCACCUCUCCGACGCCGUCCUCUACAAGCAGGAGCUCACCAUCCUCGACACGCACAUCCACGACGACCGGCUCGUCGC